CGCCCCCAAGCAAGGCUCUCCCAGUGUCCAUUGGAUCACCCAGCCGCCACUCUAUUUGUUCAUCGCGCUUGUUGCGUCUAUAUGGUGGCCCAUUGGUCAGUAGGACUGCUCCUCAAGGUGGAGGCGGAGAUUCUUAGCGGGCAAUUCUCCUAUAAUUGGUUACUUUUGAUGUCUUUAGCCAGUGGGCCUAGAUGCUAUUGGGUAUGGGACACCCCAGAGUGUGGACGGAAAGACUCUUGGAACUGCAUUGAACCCCAGACCUUUCAAAGCACCCAUAACUGUGGGACAGUAGAGAGGAGGAGAGGCUCCAUUGCUCUUCGGUUUUCCCCCAGUUGUCAUGUUACCUCAAUAAAGUUUCUCCUCAA
rnacentral:lncRNA from 1 species